rnacentral:rRNA from 1 species
AACGAACGCUGGCGGCAUGCCUAACACAUGCAAGUUGAACGAGACCUUCGGGUCUAGUGGCGCACGGGUGCGUAACGCGUGGGAAUCUGCCCCUUGGUUCGGAAUAACUUCGGGAAACUGAAGCUAAUACCGGAUAAUGACGUAAGUCCAAAGAUUUAUCGCCAAGGGAUGAGCCCGCGUAGGAUUAGCUAGUUGGUGAGGUAAUGGCUCACCAAGGCGACGAUCGUUAGCUGGUCUGAGAGGACGAUCAGCCACACUGGGACUGAGACACGGCCCAGACUCCUACGGGAGGCAGCAGUGGGGAAUAUUGGACAAUGGGGGGCAACCCUGAUCCAGCCAUGCCGCGUGAGUGAUGAAGGCCUUCGGGUUGUAAAGCUCUUUUGGUCGGGGACGGAUGAUGACGGUACCG